rnacentral:rRNA from 1 species
GACGAACGCUGGCGGCGUGCUUAACACAUGCAAGUCGAACGGAAAGGCCCUGCUUUUGUGGGGUGCUCGAGUGGCGAACGGGUGAGUAACACGUGAGUAACCUGCCCUUGACUUUGGGAUAACUUCAGGAAACUGGGGCUAAUACCGGAUAGGAGCUCCUGCUGCAUGGUGGGGGUUGGAAAGUUUCGGCGGUUGGGGAUGGACUCGCGGCUUAUCAGCUUGUUGGUGGGGUAGUGGCUUACCAAGGCUUUGACGGGUAGCCGGCCUGAGAGGGUGACCGGCGACAAUGGGACUGAGAUACGGCCCAGACUGCUACGGGAGGCAGCAGUGGGGAAUAUUGCACAAUGGGCGGAAGCCUGAUGCAGCAACGCCGCGUGCGGGAUGACGGCCUUCGGGUUGUAAACCGAUUUAACCUGUGACGAAGCGUGAGUGACGGUAAUGGGUAAAGAAGCACCGGCUAACUACGUG